CACAUGCAAGUCGAACGAAGUUUUUCUUUUGGGAGGAACUUAGUGGCGGACGGGUGAGUAACGCGUGGGUAACCUGCCCUGUACAGGGGGACAACAGCUGGAAACGGCUGCUAAUACCACAUAAGCCCUUAGCACUGCAUGGUGCAUAGGGAAAAGGAGCAAUCCGGUACAGGAUGGACCCGCGUCUGAUUAGCCAGUUGGCAGGGUAACGGCCUACCAAAGCGACGAUCAGUAGCCGAUCUGAGAGGAUGUACGGCCACAUUGGGACUGAGACACGGCCCAGACUCCUACGGGAGGCAGCAGUGGGGAAUAUUGCACAAUGGAGGAAACUCUGACGCAGCGACGCCGCGUGAGUGAAGAAGUAUUUCGGUAUGUAAAGCUCUAUCAGCAGGGAAGAAAAUGACGGUACCUGACUAAGAAGCACCGGCUAAAUACGUGCCAGCAGCCGCGGUAAUACGUAUGGUGCAAGCGUUAUCCGGAUUUACUGGGUGUAAAGGGAGCGUAGGUGGCAAGGCAAGCCAGAAGUGAAAACCCGGGGCUCAACCGCGGGAUUGCUUUUGGAACUGUCAUGCUAGAGUGCAGGAGGGGUGAGCGGAAUUCCUAGUGUAGCGGUGAAAUGCGUAGAUAUUAGGAGGAACACCGGAGGCGAAGGCGGCUCACUGGACUGUAACUGACACUGAGGCUCGAA
rnacentral:rRNA from 1 species